rnacentral:rRNA from 1 species
GAUAAACGCUGGCGGCGUGCCUAAUACAUGCAAGUCGAGCGAACGGACGAGAAGCUUGCUUCUCUGAUGUUAGCGGCGGACGGGUGAGUAACACGCGGAUAACCUACCUAUAAGACUGGGAUAACUUCGGGAAACCGGAGCUAAUACCGGAUAAUAUUUUGAACCGCAUGGUUCAAAAGUGAAAGACGGUCUUGCUGUCACUUAUAGAUGGAUCCGCGCUGCAUUAGCUAGUUGGUAAGGUAACGGCUUACCAAGGCAACGAUGCAUAGCCGACCUGAGAGGGUGAUCGGCCACACUGGAACUGAGACACGGUCCAGACUCCUACGGGAGGCAGCAGUAGGGAAUCUUCCGCAAUGGGCGAAAGCCUGACGGAGCAACGCCGCGUGAGUGAUGAAGGUCUUCGGAUCGUAAAACUCUGUUAUUAGGGAAGAACAUAUGUGUAAGUAACUGUGCACAUCUUGACGGUACCUAAUCAGAAAGCCACGGCUAACUACGUGCCAGCAGCCGCGGUAAUACGUAGGUGGCAAGCGUUAUCCGGAAUUAUUGGGCGUAAAGCGCGCGUAGGCGGUUUUUUAAGUCUGAUGUGAAAGCCCACGGCUCAACCGUGGAGGGUCAUUGGAAACUGGAAAACUUGAGUGCAGAAGAGGAAAGUGGAAUUCCAUGUGUAGCGGUGAAAUGCGCAGAGAUAUGGAGGAACACCAGUGGCGAAGGCGACUUUCUGGUCUGUAACUGACGCUGAUGUGCGAAAGCGUGGGGAUCAAACAGGAUUAGAUACCCUGGUAGUCCACGCCGUAAACGAUGAGUGCUAAGUGUUAGGGGGUUUCCGCCCCUUAGUGCUGCAGCUAACGCAUUAAGCACUCCGCCUGGGGAGUACGACCGCAAGGUUGAAACUCAAAGGAAUUGACGGGGACCCGCACAAGCGGUGGAGCAUGUGGUUUAAUUCGAAGCAACGCGAAGAACCUUACCAAAUCUUGACAUCCUUUGACAACUCUAGAGAUAGAGCCUUCCCCUUCGGGGGACAAAGUGACAGGUGGUGCAUGGUUGUCGUCAGCUCGUGUCGUGAGAUGUUGGGUUAAGUCCCGCAACGAGCGCAACCCUUAAGCUUAGUUGCCAUCAUUAAGUUGGGCACUCUAAGUUGACUGCCGGUGACAAACCGGAGGAAGGUGGGGAUGACGUCAAAUCAUCAUGCCCCUUAUGAUUUGGGCUACACACGUGCUACAAUGGACAAUACAAAGGGCAGCGAAACCGCGAGGUCAAGCAAAUCCCAUAAAGUUGUUCUCAGUUCGGAUUGUAGUCUGCAACUCGACUACAUGAAGCUGGAAUCGCUAGUAAUCGUAGAUCAGCAUGCUACGGUGAAUACGUUCCCGGGUCU